GCAUUAGUGGCUCAGUGUUUAAAGCGCCGGUCUUGUAAGCCGGACAUCGAAGGUUAAAAUCCUUCCUACUGCUUU
rnacentral:tRNA from 1 species